AUUCCAGCUCCAAUAGCGAGUAUUAAAGUUGCUGCGGUUGAAAAGCUCGUAGUUGGAUUUCUGCUAGGGACGAUCGGUCCACCCAGUGGGUGUGUAUCUGUGUCGGCCUUGGCAUAUUAUUGGCGAACGCAACUGCACUUGACUGUGUGGUGCGGGAUCCAGGGCUUUUACUUUGAGGAAUUUAGAGUGUUUCAAGCAGGCGCACGCCUUGAAUACAUUAGCAUGGAAUAUUAAGACAGGACCUGAGUUAUAUGUUGUUGGUUUCUAGAGCUGAGGUAAUGAUUACUAGGGAUAGUUGGGGGCAUUCGUAUUUAACAGUCAGAGGUGAAAUUCUUGGAUUUGUUAAAGACGGACUACUGCGAAAGCAUUUGCCAAGGAUGUUUUCAUUA
rnacentral:rRNA from 1 species